rnacentral:misc_RNA from 1 species
CGUUUGCGUCAUUAGACGUACCGUAGAAAAUCCCUAUGAUGCACAGGUCACGUCACUCAACACCUAACAGAAAAUACCCAUGACGCAUACGUUGCGUUAGCAGGCGAAAGUGUUAAUUUAACAAAGCCAAGCAAUAUUAAUAACAUCGACGAUAUUUAACGAUAUUUAACAGAAUGGAAUGAAGGCUCGUUCGGAUCUCCUCGAAAAAACGUAAAAAGAGAACAGAAUUAUAGCGGAUAACCUACGUUCGUUUUAUCCGUAAAAUUUAUUUUCAACCAGCACGGAUGGAUAUUCAGCAAAGGGCGAAUAACGAAGUGGUAUGGGGUGGUUUUUCCAAGGCACGAACAGGCUUUUCAGGGGAAAGUAACGCAAGUUGGAAACGUGACGAUGAAAAAUUCACGUUUUCAAGGGGACACACACGGUCUCGGCGACGGAAAUAUUCAUCGUGGAUCGCCGAUAAACACGCGAUGGGGGUUGCUGAGGGGGUUGAAAAGGGAAAGUAUCGCGUGCAUAAAUGCCAGAAUACGAAUAGGCAAACUUUUUUCUCUUUUUAAUUAAUAAUUCACGACCGUCGACACUUUGGAUCGCUGACGACCAACGUUAAAUACAUAACGUUUGGCUGAACUUCGUUUUGAGAUACGCAAAUUUGUAAUAUUUUUUUUUUUUUUAUUACAUAUGGAUAAUUUUCGACAAGUAGAAUGCAAAAAGACUACUUUCAAGGCUUGAAGAUCAUUAUCUUAAAAAUAAUGCAUGUACUAUAGCUUACUGUACUGUAUAUUACACUUUAUGUGAAAUUAGUAUUUCUAGAUACUAUUCGUAAAAAGUAAUAUCAUAUGUCAUGAAAGGAAAUGAUAAAUUCUGUAUGCCAGGUGACGCAGUUGAAUCUAAUUUUUAUUUUAAAACAGUGUAAAAGGGAGGGCAAGCAGAAUGUUAGAAAAUCGCCAUUUUUCACAUCGCCUGGAAUUGAAAAAUUCAUGCACAACCUUAAGAGUGUGUCUCCCCAAGGAAGAAGAAACGUUCUUACCGUUUCCCUGAGAAACGAUGGAUAAGUUGUUAAAAAUUAAAUUCAAAUAUGCGAAUAUGACAGUAAUCGUACUUACCUAAGCGUUAUAUUUCAUCUUGUUCAUUUUCAGAUAUUGAACGAUUUUCAAAAAGAUGAACGAGGAGAGUCAGUUGAUAAAUCGACUAAAGUUAUCGAUGAUAAAAUGACUAAAGUUUUGAAUCGACCAAAACCCAAGUACAUUCUUGCGAACACAUGUGGAUGCAAAGUCGUUGUUCACGUUGUUGGUUGCUGUUCGCG